rnacentral:misc_RNA from 1 species
GUUCCAUUGAACUAGAAAAUGAUUGAUGUGCUUCCAUUCAAUAAAAUAUUGAUUAGCAAAACAGAAGCACAGCUUGUACCUAGCUAAUUCGACAUAUAAUGAUUUGGAAUUUCAAGAAACUACACAUUAUAUGGAUAGUAAGUUUGUUCAUAUCUAGGCUCACUACCAUAUUCUACAUGUACAUGGUUACUACUAUCACUAUGAAAACCUUCAGAAUAAGGAACAGUAACCUGUCUCGGUAUGCUAGUCCCAGCAGUUGAAUCCAAAACAGAACCCUUACUUUCUGAAAAGAAUCUUGUAUGCGGUUUACUACUUGAAA